CGCAGUUACUAUUCAGCCACUGGCGGGGCAGGCCCAAUUCCAAUUCUAGCCACUGCGGGGCAGGCUCAGUUACUAUUCAGCCACUGGCGGGGCAGCUCAGUUACUAUUCAGCCACUGGCGGGGCAAGCUCAGUUACUAUUCAGCCACUGGCGGCUCGGCCAUUCUCAGUAGCAUCUUUGAGCCCAUUAUAGUGCCUCUGGGCUAGCUAAGACUUUAUAAACUUACAUGCAUGAUUAAAAUAUCAGUAUCAUCAUAUCGCAUACAUAGCCAUAGCUUCUGGGUUCAUGCAAGUUACUUAAGCAUUGUAACAUAUCAAGCAUGAAACAUAUAUACUUAAAAGAAAUGCUGAGGAAACAUUAAUAACAUGACAUGAUCCAAAACAGGAUUAGAACAGGUUACUUACAGCAAUUCGUUAUCCAAAGUCUUGGUGGCAAAUCGUUGAUUCCUAAAACCACAUUAUAGGAAUCAUAUUAUUCUCUAUUUAUUAUAGAAUUUGGUUCAUCUUAUCAUGGACUUGCUUGGGUCCCAACCAAGGAUCUUGGCCCAUUUUAAUUUAGCCAAUUUGAAGCCUUUGGUGUUCAUUUAAAGACAUUUGGGUCCAUAUGGUUAAUUGGGCUUUUUAAUGACAGGGUUGGGCCUGAUUUAAACUAAGUCCAGCCUCUUUCAGCCAAUUAGGCCC
rnacentral:lncRNA from 1 species